UCUACAGCCAUUAUAUUCUACAGCGAAUUGUUAUAAUUAUAACAGUGAUGUUUGAUAAGUGAAAAUGUGGUAAACAGCCAAUGAUAUCUAAUUAAAAGCAAAUAACUAACCAAUAAUAUUUAUUUAGAAGAAACAGGCCAAUAAUGGUAGUUUUCUCAUCUUUAUAAUUUAUUAUGAAGUUGAAAAUAUUUUGCGUGCAAAGCGCUAAUGCUAUGAGAGAAAUACAAAAUUUUCUGUUAAUGUUUUAUUAUUCUACAAUAAUUUCAUAUAUCAUUGGUUUUUUACUAAUGGUUACUUCGCCAAAUUCGAUAACUUGAAUCAAUGAUUAACUCGUAGCCAGUAUUGUCAGAAAAAUUGUUCCAAAAUAGUUUAUUUUCAAAGUGCUGCCACAAGAGAGAGAGAGAGAGAGAGAGAGAGAGAGAGAGAGAGAGAGAGAGAGAGAGAGAGAGAGAGAGAG